GCAUGGCGGGAUGAGUCGGAUCUGGGCCGGCCUCCCACCCGUGUUUAUCGUACCUUGUUGCUUCGGCGGGCCCGCCGCAAGGCCGCCGGGGGGCAUCUGCCCUCUGGCCCGCGCCCGCCGAAGACACCAUUGAACGCUGUCUGAAGAUUGCAGUCUGAGCAAUUAGUUAAAUAACUUAAAACUUUCAACAACGGAUCUCUUGGUUCCGGCAUCGAUGAAGAACGCAGCGAAAUGCGAUACGUAAUGUGAAUUGCAGAAUUCAGUGAAUCAUCGAGUCUUUGAACGCACAUUGCGCCCCCUGGUAUUCCGGGGGGCAUGCCUGUCCGAGCGUCAUUGCUGCCCUCAAGCACGGCUUGUGUGUUGGGCUCCGUCCUCCUUCCGGGGGACGGGCCCGAAAGGCAGCGGCGGCACCGCGUCCGGUCCUCGAGCGUAUGGGGCUUCGUCACCCGCUCUGCAGGCCCGGCCGGCGCUUGCCGACACAUCAAUCUUUUUUCCAGGUUGACCUCGGAUCAGGUAGGGAUACCCGCUGAACUUAAGCAUAUCAAAA
rnacentral:rRNA from 1 species